rnacentral:rRNA from 1 species
UACGUAGGGUGCAAGCGUUGCCCGGAUUUAUUGGGCGUAAAGGGCGCGUAGGCGGCUCGGCACGUCCGUUGUGAAAUCGCCCGGCUCAACUGGGCGGGGUCAGCGGAUACGGCCGAGCUUGAGCAAGCUAGGGGGCAAUGGAAUUCCCGGUGUAGUGGUGGAAUGCGUAGAUAUCGGGAGGAACACCAGUGGCGAAGGCGAGUCCCUGGACAACACCUGACACUGAGGCACGAAAGCUAGGGGAGCAAACAGG